UGGGGAAUAUUGGACAAUGGGCGCAAGCCUGAUCCAGCCAUGCCGCGUGAGUGAUGAAGGCCCUAGGGUUGUAAAGCUCUUUUGUGCGGGAAGAUAAUGACGGUACCGCAAGGAUAAGCCCCGGCUAACUUCGUGCCAGCAGCCGCGGUAAUACGAAGGGGGCUAGCGUUGCUCGGAAGCACUGGGCGUAAAGGGUGCGUAGGCGGGUCAUUAAGUCAGGGGUGAAAUCCUGGAGCUCAACUCCAGAACUGCCUUUGAUACUGAAGAUCUUGAGUUCGGGAGAGGUGAGUGGAACUGCGAGUGUAGAGGUGAAAUUCGUAGAUAUUCGCAAGAACACCAGUGGCGAAGGCGGCUCACUGGCCCGAUACUGACGCUGAGGCGCGAAAGCGUGGGGAGCAAACAGGAUUAGAUACCCGCGUAGUCC
rnacentral:rRNA from 1 species